CCUACGGGAGGCAGCAGUGAGGAAUAUUGGUCAAUGGACGAGAGUCUGAACCAGCCAAGUCGCGUGAAGGAAGAAGGAUCUAUGGGUGGUAAACUGCUUUUAUAGGGGAAAAAAGUGAGGAAAGUGUGCCUGUUUGUAUGUACCAUAUGAAUAAGGAUAGGCUAACUCCGUGCCAGCAGCCGCGGUAAGACGGAGGUUGCGAGCGUUAUCCGGAUUGAUUGGGUUUAAAGGGUGCGUAGGGGGUUAAUUAAGUCAGCUGUGAAAGUUUGUGGCUCCACCACGAAAUUGCCGGUGCUACUGGUCGACUUGAGUAUAUUUGCGGUAGGCGUAAUGCGUGGUGUAGCGG
rnacentral:rRNA from 1 species